CCUACGGGAGGCAGCAGUAGGGAAUCUUCCGCAAUGGGCGAAAGCCUGACGGAGCAACGCCGCGUGAGUGAUGAAGGUCUUCGGAUCGUAAAACUCUGUUAUCAGGGAAGAACAAAUGUGUAAGUAACUGUGCACAUCUUGACGGUACCUGAUCAGAAAGCCACGGCUAACUACGUGCCAGCAGCCGCGGUAAUACGUAGGUGGCAAGCGUUAUCCGGAAUUAUUGGGCGUAAAGCGCGCGUAGGCGGUUUUUUAAGUCUGAUGUGAAAGCCCACGGCUCAACCGUGGAGGGUCAUUGGAAACUGGAAAACUUGAGUGCAGAAGAGGAAAGUGGAAUUCCAUGUGUAGCGGUGAAAUGCGCAGAGAUAUGGAGGAACACCAGUGGCGAAGGCGACUUUCUGGUCUGUAACUGACGCUGAUGUGCGAAAGCGUGGGGAUCAAACAGGAUUAGAUACCCUGGUAGUCCACGCCGUAAACGAUGAGUGCUAAGUGUUAGGGGGUUUCCGCCCCUUAGUGCUGCAGCUAACGCAUUAAGCACUCCGCCUGGGGGGUACGACCGCAAGGUUGAAACUCAAAGGAAUUGACGG
rnacentral:rRNA from 1 species